GAUGAACGCUGGCGGCGUGCUUAACACAUGCAAGUCGAACGAAGCACUUAAGAUUGAUUCUUCGGAUGACGUCUUUUGUGACUUAGUGGCGGACGGGUGAGUAACGCGUGGGUAACCUGCCUCACACAGGGGGAUAACAGUUAGAAAUGACUGCUAAUACCGCAUAACCCGAUAGGAUCGCAUGAUCCAGACGGACAAGAUUUAUCGGUGUGAGAUGGACCCGCGUCUGAUUAGCUAGUUGGUGAGGUAACGGCCCACCAAGGCGACGAUCAGUAGCCGGCCUGUGAGAGUGAACGGACACAUUGGGACUGAGACACGGCCCAAACUCCUACGGGAGGCAGCAAUGGGGAAUAUUGCACAAUGGGGGAAACCCUGAUGCAGCGACGCCGCGUGAGUGAAGAAGUAUUUCGGUAUGUAAAGCUCUAUCAGCAGGGAAGAAAAUGACGGUACCUGACGAAGAAGCCCCGGCUAACUACGUG
rnacentral:rRNA from 1 species